UAAACUGUCACCCAGGUUGCAGACCCUCAAGAAUGACUUGUUGAUGUAAGUGACUGAUGGAGGAGAGGGAGGUGACUGAUGGAGGAGGAGAGGGAGGUGACUGAUGGAGGAGGUGGAGAGGGAGGAGGAGAGGGAGGUGACUGAUGGAGGAGGUGGAGAGGGAGGAUAAGAGGGAGGUGACUGAUGGAGGAGAGGGAGGUGGAGAGGGAGGUGACUGAUGGAGGAGGUGGAGAGGGAGGAGAAGAGGGAGGUGACUGAUGGAGGAGGUGGAGAGGGAGGUGACUGAUGGAGGAGGUGGAGAGGGAGGAGAAGAGGGAGGUGACUGAUGGAGGAGGUGGAGAGGGAGGUGACUGAUGGAGGAGGUGGAGAUGGAGGUGACUGAUGGAGGAGGUGGAGAAGGAGGUGACUGAUGGCGGAGGUGGAGAGGGAGGAUAAGAGGGAGGUGACUGAUGGAGGAGAGGGAGGUGGAGGUGACUGAUGGAGGAGGUGAGGGAGGUGACUGAUGGAGGAGGUGGAGAGGGAGGUGACUGAUGGAGGAGGUGGAGAGGGAGGUGACUGAUGGAGGAGGUGGAGAUGGAGGUGACUGAUGGAGGAGGUGAGGGAGGUGACUGAUGGCGGAGGUGGAGAGGGAGGUGACUGAUGGCGGAGGUGGAGAGGGAGGUGACUGAUGGAGGAGGUGGAGAGGGAGGUGACUGAUGGCGGAGGUGACUGAUGGAGGAGGAGAGAGGGAGGUGACUGAUGGAGGAGGUGGAGAGGGAGGUGACUGAUGGAGGAGGUGGAGAGGGAGGUGACUGAUGGAGGAGGUGGAGAGGGAGGUGACUGAUGGAGGAGGUGGAGAGGGAGGUGACUGAUGGAGGAGGUGGAGAGGGAGGUGACUGAUGGCAUAGGAGGAGAGAGGGAGGUGACUGAUGGAGGAGGAGAGGGAGGUGACUGAUGGAGGAGGUGGAGAGGGAGGUGACUGAUGGCAUAGGAGGAGAGAGGGAGGCUUUGAUUUAUUUUGAUUUAUAGAUGUUUAUUAUUUAUUUUUCUAUUUAAUUUUAAUAUUGCAGUGUGCUAAAAGGGAGCGGGCA
ensembl:lncRNA